CGGGGUGUGGCGCAGUGGAAGCGCGCUCGGUUCGGGACCGAGAGGUCGUGGGUUCGAUCCCCACCACCCCGA
rnacentral:tRNA from 1 species